rnacentral:rRNA from 1 species
GACGAACGCUGGCGGCGUGCUUUAACACAUGCAAGUCGAGCGGGGACAUAAAGCGGAAGGUUUCGGCUGGAAGGUUUAUGUUCUAGCGGCGGACGGGUGAGUAAACGCGUGAACAAUCUGUCCCAGACAGGGGGAUAACACUUGGAAACAGGUGCUAAUACCGCAUAAGACCACGAGAUCACAUGAUCUUGAGGUAAAAGGAGCAAUCCGGUUUGGGGUGAGUUCGCGUCCGAUUAGCUAGUUGGCGAGGUAACGGCCCACCAAGGCGACGAUCGGUAGCCGACCUGAGAGGGUGAUCGGCCACAUUGGAACUGAGAGACGGUCCAAACUCCUACGGGAGGCAGCAGUGGGGAAUAUUGGGCAAUGGGCGAAAGCCUGACCCAGCAACGCCGCGUGAGGGAAGAAAGGUUUUCGGAUUGUAAACCUCUGUCCUCAGGGACGAAGGAAGUGACGGUACCUGAGGAGGAAGCCCCGGCUAACUACGUGCCAGCCGCCGCGGUAAC